UCAGCCACAUGGGGACUGAGACACGGCCCAAACUCCUACGGGGAGGCAGCAGUGGGGAAUAUUGGACAAUGGGCGCAAGCCUGAUCCAGCCAUGCCGCGUGAGUGAUGACGGCCUUAGGGUUGUAAAGCUCUUUCGCUCGGGACGAUAAUGACGGUACCGAGAUAAGAAGCCCCGGCUAACUUCGUGCCAGCAGCCGCGGUAAUACGAAGGGGGCUAGCGUUGUUCGGAAUUACUGGGCGUAAAGCGCGUGUAGGCGGGUCUUUAAGUCAGGGGUGAAAUGCCAAGGCUCAACCUUGGAACUGCCUUUGAUACUGGAGAUCUUGAGUCCGGGAGAGGUGAGUGGAAUUGCGAGUGUAGAGGUGAAAUUCGUAGAUAUUCGCAAGAACACCAGUGGCGAAGGCGGCUCACUGGCCCGGAACUGACGCUGAGACGCGAAAGCGUGGGGAGCAAACAGGAUUAGAUACCCUGGUAGUCCACGCUGUAAACGAUGGAUGCUAGCCGUUGGGGAGCUUGCUCUUCAGUGGCGCAGCUAACGCUUUAAGCAUCCCGCCUGGGGAGUACGGUCGCAAGAUUAAAACUCAAAGGAAUUGACG
rnacentral:rRNA from 1 species